rnacentral:rRNA from 1 species
UGGGGAAUUUUGGACAAUGGGGGAAACCCUGAUCCAGCCAUCCCGCGUGUGCGAUGAAGGCCUUCGGUUGUAAAGCACUUUUGGCAGGAAAGAAACGUCGCGGGUUAAUACCCCGCGAAACUGACGGUACCUGCAGAAUAAGCACCGGCUAACUACGUGCCAGCAGCCGCGGUAAUACGUAGGGUGCAAGCGUUAAUCGGAAUUACUGGGCGUAAAGCGUGCGCAGGCGGUUCGGAAAGAAAGAUGUGAAAUCCCAGAGCUUAACUUUGGAACUGCAUUUUUAACUACCGGGCUAGAGUGUGUCAGAGGGAGGUGGAAUUCCGCGUGUAGCAGUGAAAUGCGUAGAUAUGCGGAGGAACACCGAUGGCGAAGGCAGCCUCCUGGGAUAACACUGACGCUCAUGCACGAAAGCGUGGGGAGCAAACAGGAUUAGAUACCCUGGUAGUCCACGCCCUAAAACGAUGUCAACUAGCUGUUGGGGCCUUCGGGCCUUGGUAGCGCAGCUAACGCGUGAAGUUGACCGCCUGGGGAGUACGGUCGCAAG